GGUGAACCAGCGGAGGGAUCAUUACCGAGUUUACAACUCCCAAACCCAAUG
rnacentral:rRNA from 1 species